rnacentral:lncRNA from 1 species
UUUAUACGACCGCAAAAAUUGAAAAUUUUUUGGUCGUAUAUUGGUAUGAUGUUGGCGUCGUCGUCUGUGUCGUCGUCCGAAUACUUGUAGUUUUCGCACUCUAACUUUAGUACAUGCGAAUAGAAAUCUAUGAAAUUUUAACACAAGGUUUAUUACCACAAAAGGAAGGUUGGGAUUGAUUUUGAAAGUUUUGGUCCCAACAUUUUAGGAAUUAGGGGCCAAAAAGGGCCCAAAUAAGCAUUUUCUUGGUUUUCGCACUAUAACUUUAGUUUAAGUAAAUAGAAAUCUAUGAAAUUUUGACACAAGGUUUAUGACCACAAAAGGAAGGUUGGGAUUGAUUUUGGGAGUUUUGGUUCCAACAGUUUAGGAAUUAGGGGCCAAAAAAGGGCCCAAAUAAGCAUUAUUCUUGGUUUUCGCACAAUAACUUUAGUAUAAGUAAAUAGGAAUCAAUGAAAUUUAAACACAAGGUUUAUGACCACAAAAGGAAGGUUGGGAUUGAUUUUGGGAGUUGAGGUCCGAACAGUUAAGGAAUUAGGGGCCAAAAAGGGGCCCAAAUAAGCAUUUUUCUUGGUUUUCGCACCAUAACUUUAGUAUAAGUAAAUAGAAAUCUAUGAAAUUUAAACACAAGGUUUAUGACCACAAAAGGAAGGUUGGGAUUGAUUUUGGAAGUUUUGGUCCCAACAGUUUAGGAAUAAGGGGC